GAUGAACGCUAGCUACAGGCUUAACACAUGCAAGUCGAGGGGCAGCGGGAUUGAAGCUUGCUUCAAUUGCCGGCGACCGGCGCACGGGUGAGUAACGCGUAUCCAACCUUCCGCUUACUCGGGGAUAGCCUUUCGAAAGAAAGAUUAAUACCCGAUGGUAUCUUAAGCACGCAUGAGAUUAAGAUUAAAGAUUUAUCGGUAAGCGAUGGGGAUGCGUUCCAUUAGGCAGUUGGCGGGGUAACGGCCCACCAAACCUACGAUGGAUAGGGGUUCUGAGAGGAAGGUCCCCCACAUUGGAACUGAGACACGGUCCAAACUCCUACGGGAGGCAGCAGUGAGGAAUAUUGGUCAAUGGGCGAGAGCCUGAACCAGCCAAGUAGCGUGAAGGAUGACGGCCCUACGGGUUGUAAACUUCUUUUGUGCGGGAAUAAAGGAACCUACGUGUAGGUUUUUGCAUGUACCGUAACGAAUAAGCAUCGGCUAACUCCGUGCCAGCAGCCGCGGUAAUACGGAGGAUGCGAGCGUUAUCCGGAUUUAUUGGGUUUAAAGGGAGCGUAGACGGGUUUUUAAGUCAGUUGUGAAAGUUUGGGGCUCAACCUUAAAAUUGCAGUUGAAACUGGAGACCUUGAGUACGGUUGAGGUAGGCGGAAUUCGUGGUGUAGCGGUGAAAUGCUUAGAUAUCACGAAGAACCCCGAUUGCGAAGGCAGCCUGCUAAGCCGCCACUGACGUUGAGGCUCGAAAGUGCGGGUAUCAAACAGG
rnacentral:rRNA from 1 species